AUGCCUCGUCAUCUAAUUAGUGACGCGCAUGAAUGGAUUAACGAGAUUCCUACUGUCCCUAUCUACUAUCUAGCGAAACCACAGCCAAGGGAACGGGCUUGGAAUAAUUAGCGGGGAAAGAAGACCCUGUUGAGCUUGACUCUAGUCUGGCAGUGUAAGGAGACAUAAGAGGUGUAGCAUAAGUGGGAGAUAUAUUAGUUUCGGCUAUAUAUAUCAAAAAUGAAAUACCACUACUCUUAUUGUUUCCUUACUUACUUGAUAAAAUGGAACGUGUAUCAUUCACUUAGCCAUUAUACGGAUAUAUUUAUAUAUUUUAUGGUAUUUUGUUUUGAUGCGAGCUUCUUGUUUAAAGUACCAAGAGUUUGUUAUAUACACCAAACAAAUAUCAAUUAAAUUUGCUUUCCAUUAAUAAUGGUUUGUUAAAUAUUAAUUGAAUUUGGUAUAACUAUUAUACUCAGGUAUGAUCCAAUUCAAGGACAUUGCCAGGUGGGGAGUUUGACUGGGGCGGUACAUCUCUCAAAUAAUAACGGAGGUGUCCCAAGGCCAGCUCAGUGCGGACAGAAACCACACAUAGAGCAAAAGGGCAAAUGCUGACUUGAUCUCGGUGUUCAGUACAUACAGAGACAGCAAAAGCUCGGCCUAUCGAUCCUUUUGGUUUAAAGAGUUUUUAACAAGAGGUGUCAGAAAAGUUACCACAGGGAUAACUGGCU
rnacentral:rRNA from 1 species